UGGCUGUCGAGAAGAUCCAACCACUUUACCAAGAUCUACAAUUCGUGCUAUGGUAGAUGUGACCCUCAAAGAUUUUGGAUGACGAAGGAAUCCAACGCAUAUAUGUCGCUCACAGACACGGGCAGACGACUGAGAGUCGAGUGGAUUCAGUGGAUCGAAUGGUUACGCUCAGGGAUAUCCAUGCGCAGGAGUGACGAACCACAGUUCAGGAAACGAUGCCUUGACAGACCAAUUCAAGGAGAACCUUCGCUAAGAUCAGGAAGGGAACGUGUUUGCUGUGUGGAUGGAUUGAACACUUAAAUGUCCGUCAUUCUAAUAGACUAUAAUAACAAUCUUCUAAUGGACUAUCUGAAUGACAGUCUAACUCCAAAGGGACUCUCUGGACUUAGGGAAAGCUACGGACAUGAGCCCUGACAUGAUAUCCUGCAGCCACCAUGAGGACAGCCUAUCUCAUAACUUCAGAAGGAUGCCAUCACAUGCAUGAUGAGCCAUCCCACAGAAGGGAGAAGGAUGUUGUUGACCCAGCACAUCCCAUCCAUGCUCCCAUCGCCGUCAAGUAACAGUACGACGGUUAGUUUGUAUUUUGUCACCGUAGGCUUUAUCGUUUUAUCAAAAUAUCUGAUUGAAAGGUGAUUUAAUGAAAAUUCAAAUUUUUCUGAUGGUGAGAGUGCAAAUAUUUACAAUGCUUAUGACAAGCAUAGAUUAUUUUAAUCUAUGUUUGGUUAUGACCAUGA